CCUACGGGAGGCAGCAGUGGGGAAUAUUGGACAAUGGGCGCAAGCCUGAUCCAGCCAUGCCGCGUGUGUGAAGAAGGCCUUUUGGUUGUAAAGCACUUUAAGCGAGGAGGAGGCUACCUGGAUUAAUACUCUAGGAUAGUGGACGUUACUCGCAGAAUAAGCACCGGCUAACUCUGUGCCAGCAGCCGCGGUAAUACAGAGGGUGCGAGCGUUAAUCGGAUUUACUGGGCGUAAAGCGUGCGUAGGCGGCUUCUUAAGUCGGAUGUGAAAUCCCUGAGCUUAACUUAGGAAUUGCAUUCGAUACUGGGAAGCUAGAGUAUGGGAGAGGAUGGUAGAAUUCCAGGUGUAGCGGUGAAAUGCGUAGAGAUCUGGAGGAAUACCGAUGGCGAAGGCAGCCAUCUGGCCUAAUACUGACGCUGAGGUACGAAAGCAUGGGGAGCAAACAGGAUUAGAUACCCUGGUAGUCCAUGCCGUAAACGAUGUCUACUAGCCGUUGGGGCCUUUGAGGCUUUAGUGGCGCAGCUAACGCGAUAAGUAGACCGCCUGGGGAGUACGGUCGCAAGACUAAAACUCAAAUGAAUUGACGGGGGCCCGCACAAGCGGUGGAGCAUGUGGUUUAAUUCGAUGCAACGCGAAGAACCUUAC
rnacentral:rRNA from 1 species